CCUUUUUUCCAAUGUUAUACAUAUAUAAAAAGACCAAAACUUUCUGGCUUGCACUCCCUAGGCCAAAUUCCUUUAACUGUGUCAUUUAAUCGGUCCUUCCUUGUGUGGCACUGGCUGUCCAUUUUCCCAAGCCCUCGCAUGUCCUGGAUGGCCGAUCAUCAUCCACACGGGGGCUGAAAGGCCCGGCUCCAGUACUCCUGUGGUCACUAUCCUGCUGAAUCGCUUUGAACCACCAUUGGCCUAACCGCAACUCCCAUCCCGCUUCCCUCCUGCCUCGCCACCGCAGGCCUGUCCCUUUGCGUUCUUGUUAAAACCGCGCACCGUUUAAGGCCGCUUCGAGCCUACUGGAUCCCUGGUUCCAACCCAGCAGGAUCACGGAAGCAGGGCCAGCUGCCAGGCUUCUGCAAAAGACUUGAGACAGCUCACAAUGAAGUACUCUGUAUUAGGCAGGGUGAUAUUGAUUGCAAAUGACAGAAACCCGAUCAGAAACUCACUGGAGUCAUGAGGAACACUUAUUGGCUCAGAGUAAAGGCAAAAUAGACCUUCAAAGAAAUAAAGUCUGGGAAAUUGACUAGCUCCUCACUGAAAGAACUACUAAAGGAUGUACUUAUGGAAGAAGAAAAUUACAAAAUGAAAGAACUGGGAUGCAAGAAGUAAUGGUGAGCAUGGAAUUUGGCAAAGAUUCAAGUAAAACAAAGCAAGGACUGAGUAUAUAAAAUCAUAAUCAUAACAAAUUUUGACUAUUAUAUGUAACAGCCAAUCUCUUAACUGGAUCAUAAUAGUCAAGAAAGCGAAA